GAUGAACGCUGGCGGCGCACCUAACACAUGCAAGUCGAACGGUUAAAGCAUCUUCGGAUGUGCAUAAAGUGGCGAACGGCUGAGUAACACGUGGGCAACCUGCCCCUCGCAUCGGGACAGCCUCGGGAAACCGUGGUUAAUACCGGAUACUCCGCCACCCCCGCAUGGGGGAGGCGGGAAAGCCCAGACGGCGAGGGAUGGGCCCGCGGCCUGUUAGCUUGUUGGUGGGGCAGUGGCCCACCAAGGCGAUGAUGGGUAGCCGGGUUGAGAGACCGACCGGCCAGAUUGGGACUGAGACACGGCCCAGACUCCUACGGGAGGCAGCAGUGGGGAAUCUUGCACAAUGGGCGAAAGCCUGAUGCAGCGACGCCGCGUGCGGGACGAAGGCCUUCGGGUCGUAAACCGCUUUCAGCAGGGACGAGGCCGCAAGGUGACGGUACCUGCAGAAGAAGCCCCGGCUAACUACGUGCCAGCAGCCGCGGUAAUACGUAGGGGGCGAGCGUUAUCCGGAUUCAUUGGGCGUAAAGCGCGCGUAGGCGGCCUGCUAGGUCGGGAGUCAAAUCCGGGGGCUCAACCCCCGUCCGCUCCCGAUACCGGCUGGCUUGAGUCUGGUAGGGGAGGGUGGAAUUCCCAGUGUAGCGGUGGAAUGCGCAGAUAUUGGGAAGAACACCGGUGGCGAAGGCGGCCUUCUGGGCCACGACUGACGCUGAGGCGCGAAAGCUAGGGGAGCGAACAGG
rnacentral:rRNA from 1 species